rnacentral:rRNA from 1 species
GAUGAACGCUGGCGGCGUGCCUAAUACAUGCAAGUCGAGCGAACAGACGAGGAGCUUGCUCCUCUGACGUUAGCGGCGGACGGGUGAGUAACACGUGGAUAACCUACCUAUAAGACUGGGAUAACUUCGGGAAACCGGGGCUAAUACCGGAUAAUAUAUUGAACCGCAUGGUUCAAUAGUGAAAGACGGUUUUGCUGUCACUUAUAGAUGGAUCCGCGCCGCAUUAGCUAGUUGGUAAGGUAACGGCUUACCAAGGCAACGAUGCGUAGCCGACCUGAGAGGGUGAUCGGCCACACUGGAACUGAGACACGGUCCAGACUCCUACGGGAGGCAGCAGUAGGGAAUCUUCCGCAGUGGGCGAAAGCCUGACGGAGCAACGCCGCGUGAGUGAUGAAGGUCUUCGGAUCGUAAAACUCUGUUAUUAGGGAAGAACAAAUGUGUAAGUAACUAUGCACGUCUUGACGGGACCUAAUCAGAAAGCCACGGCUAACUACGU